UACGUAGGGUGCGAGCGUUGUCCGGAAUCACUGGGCGUAAAGGGCGCGUAGGCGGCCUGAUAAGUAGGGGGUGAAAUCCUGCGGCUUAACCGCAGGGCUGCCUUCUAAACUGUCGGGCUCGAGCACAGUAGAGGCAGGUGGAAUUCCCGGUGUAGCGGUGGAAUGCGUAGAGAUCGGGAAGAACAUCAGUGGCGAAGGCGGCCUGCUGGGCUGUUGCUGACGCUGAGGCGCGACAGCGUGGGGAGCAAACAGG
rnacentral:rRNA from 1 species